rnacentral:SRP_RNA from 1 species
CUUUCAGCUUUACGCAAUAAAUCAUAUUUGAAACCCGCCAGGUCUGGAAAGAAGCAACGGUAAAGUAUUGUUUUAUGUGCCGUAAAACCCUGAUGUUG